CCUACGGGUGGCAGCAGUAGGGAAUUUUCGGCAAUGGGGGGAACCCUGACCGAGCAACGCCGCGUGAGCGAAGAAGUAUUUCGGUAUGUAAAGCUCUAUCAGCAGGGAAGAAAAUGACGGUACCUGAGUAAGAAGCUCCGGCUAAAUACGUGCCAGCAGCCGCGGUAAUACGUAUGGAGCAAGCGUUAUCCGGAUUUACUGGGCGUAAAGGGAGCGUAGGCGGCCUGCCAAGUCUGAUGUGAAAUACCGGGGCUCAACCCCGGGGCUGCAUUGGAAACUGGCAGGCUGGAGUGCCGGAGAGGCAGGCGGAAGUGCUAGUGUAGCGGUGAAAUGCGUAGAUAUUAGGAGGAACACCAGUGGCGAAGGCGGCCGGCUGGACGGUGACUGACGCUGAGGCUCGAAAGCGUGGGGAGCAAACAGGAUUAGAUACCCGUGUAGUC
rnacentral:rRNA from 1 species